UACAGAGGUCCCAAGCGUUGUUCGGAUUCAUUGGGCGUAAAGGGUGCGUAGGUGGCGUCGUAAGUCGGGUGUGAAAUCUCGGGGCUUAACUCCGAAACUGCAUUCGAUACUGCGGUGCUUGAGGACUGGAGAGGAGACUGGAAUUACGGUGUAGCAGUGAAAUGCGUAGAGAUCGUAAGGAAGACCAGUGGCGAAGGCGGCCCCUGGCCGUACC
rnacentral:rRNA from 1 species